rnacentral:ncRNA from 1 species
UUUGUACCGAGCCUUUGCCAAAAGAUUUUUCUCCAAGCAAAAUAGCUCGUUUAUGAUCUUGCAAAGCGCCGGCUACAAUUUCUGAUGCUGAAGCCGAGCCGUCAUUGAUUAUAACUACAAUCGGCAAUCCGUUGAUGACAUCACCCUCUUUGGCAGAAUAGCGCACCAUGUCUUCCGGAUUGCGAGAGCGGGUAGAUACAAUUUCUCCCUGACUAAGGAACAAAUCAGAAACUCCCACUGCCUGAUCAAGCAAACCGCCGGGGUUAUUGCGC